rnacentral:lncRNA from 1 species
AAAACUUCUUGUGAGAACUUUCUGUUUGCAGACUUUUAGUCUAGAACCUUUACAGGAAAGUCUCUGGAGAGUGGAAAAGCAUCUUCAUGGCAAAGAAGACUUUCUGGUGGUGAAGAUGGUGGACGAUGGUGGGAAAUUUGCACAGUGAGCUCCAGCCUUGGAAACAGCCAGAGUCUCAGCAACUUGAUACUGGCCCUUCUGCCCUUGGUUCCUGCCAGGACUUGACCCCGGUCCUUGUGCCCGCCCAGCUGUGA